rnacentral:rRNA from 1 species
AUACGGAGGAUCCGAGCGUUAUCCGGAUUUAUUGGGUUUAAAGGGUGCGCAGGCGGCCAUUUAAGUCAGCGGUUAAAUCGUGGGGCUCAACCCCAUUCUGCCGUUGAUACUGGGUGGCUUGAUUGCGGUCGAGGUUGGCGGAAUUCGUUGUGUAGCGGUGAAAUGCAUAGAUAUGACGAAGAACACCGAUUGCGUAGGCAGCUGACCAGACCGCAAAUGACGCUCAUGCACGAAAGUGCGGUGAUCGAACAGGAUUAGAUACCCUGGUAGUCCGCACAGUAAACGAUGAAUACUUGUUUUCGGCGAUAUAAUGUCGGAGGCAAAGCGAAAGCGAUAAGUAUUCCACCUGGGGAGUACGCCGGCAACGGUGAAACUCAAAGGAAUUGGCGGGG